AAAAGCAGGGGAUCGAAAGACCUUGCGCUAAAGGAGCGGCUGAUGUCUGAUUAGCUAGUUGGUGGGGUAAAGGCUUACCAAGGCAACGAUCAGUAGCUGGUCUGAGAGGACGACCAGCCACACUGGGACUGAGACACGGCCCAGACUCCUACGGGAGGCAGCAGUGGGGAAUUUUGGACAAUGGGCGAAAGCCUGAUCCAGCCAUGCCGCGUGAGUGAAGAAGGCCUUCGGGUUGUAAAGCUCUUUUAGUCGGAAAGAAAGAGUCAUAGUAAAUAGCUAUGAUUUAUGACGGUACCGACAGWAAAAGCACCGGCUAACUACGU
rnacentral:rRNA from 1 species